AGGAGCGUCCUAGGGCAAAAUUGGUGACUGGGGCUAAGUCGUAACAAGGUAGCCGUACCGGAAGGUGUGGCUGGAAUACCUCCUUU
rnacentral:rRNA from 1 species